rnacentral:rRNA from 1 species
GACGAACGCUGGCGGCGUGCCUAAUACAUGCAAGUAGGACGCAGUUGCGAACGGGUGAGUAACGCGUAGGUAACUACCUAUUAGAGGGGGAUAACUAUUGGAAACGAUAGCUAAUACCGCAUACUAGUAGAUGGACCUGCGUUGUAUUAGCUAGUAGGUAGGGUAAUGGCCUACCUAGGCAAAGAUACAUAGCCGGCCUGAGAGGGGGGUGGGGCACAAUGGGAACAGGACACGGCCCAGACUCCUUCAGGAGGCAGCAGUAGGGAAGCUUCGGCAAUGGGGGGAACCCUGACCGAGCAACGCCGCGUGAGUGAAGAAGGUUUUCGGAGCGUAAAGCUCUGUUGUGAAGGAAGCGGUACUUAACCAGAAAGGGACGGCUAACUACGUGCCAGCAGCCGCGGUAAUAC